CCCCAACAGCCAUUUUGUUAGCUAACUCCGGAGGUAGCCGGUGGCGCGUGUAGUUGCUAAUUGCGUGCAUUGUGCGUAGCAAAGGUUGAACUUCAGUUCCAUCGUCGUUUUCCGAAAUUUUAUUUAUACCCCAAUCACAUUGAUUUGACCGCAAGAUCGUAGGUAAGAAGACUGCGUUUGUAUUUGUUGACUGCGAUUCCACAGCAAGAGUGGACGCUCAUUCAUUUUUCAAGCCCUGUCGAGUUUGCUAGCUUCGGUAGCUACAAAGGAGAUAAGUGACGCCUUUCUUGGCCCUCGCAGCUGAAGAAAAUCAAACGUUCGAGCAUUCAUAGUUGUACGAGUGUCGUCGUUCGGCAGUUUUUGCGUUUUAAUUUGCUUCAGGGGGGAGCAAAUUCGAAGAGUGAUCUCAAGCGCAUUCUUUUGCGUGUGUAGCUUCCUCGUAGCGAGGUAGCAUCAAGAGGCUUCAAGCUGGCUACCGGCCUUUCAGAGAACAUGUCCGAGUUGUACAUUCGGGUGGCCGAGGAUGAGAACGAGGAGCCGAUGGAGAUCCCGUCGGAAGACGACGGCACGGUUCUGCUGUCGUCGGUUGCGGCCCAGUUUCCAGGGGCGUGCGGGCUCCGCUACAGAAACCCCGAAUCUCAAUGCAUGCGCGGAGUUCGGCUUGUGGAGGGCGUCCUGCAUGCUCCCGAGAGUGACUGGGGAAACCUGGUCUACGUUGUCAACUACCCCAAAGAUAACAAAAGAAAGAUGGAGGAAAUAGAUGCUGCCUCGGCCGUCAAAGUCAAAAGGGGUUAUCAGAAGACAUCAGAUCUUAUUGUUCUCGGCCUGCCGUGGAAAACCACAGAACAAGACCUGAAAGAAUAUUUUACCACAUUUGGAGAGGUCAUCAUGGUACAGAUCAAGAGGGAUGCCAACACUGGCAACUCCAAAGGAUUUGGCUUUGUGCGUUUCACUGAAUAUGAAACCCAGGUGAAAGUGAUUUCUCAGAGACACAUGAUAGACGGACGAUGGUGCGACUGCAAGCUCCCUAAUUCAAAGGUGCUGGCCGGCCAGGCGUUCCCUGAUGAACCCAUGAGGAGUCGUAAAAUCUUCGUGGGCCGCUGCACUGAGGACAUGACCCCCGAUGAGCUGCGGCAGUACUUCAUGCAAUACGGAGAAGUCACAGACGUCUUCAUCCCCAAGCCGUUCCGGGCGUUCGCCUUCGUCACGUUCGCCGACGACCAGGUGGCCCAGGCCCUGUGCGGAGAAGACCUGAUCAUCAAGGGUGUCAGCGUGCACAUCUCCAACGCCGAGCCCAAACACAACAAUAGUAGGCAAAUGAUGGAGCGAGGGCGCUUUGGGGCCGGCGGCUUCAGUCAGGCGUACGGCGCGAGUCGCGGCGGGCUGGGCGCGGGCGGCGGGGGGAAGGGCGGGGUCAACUUCAGCGCCCUGGGCCUCAACCCAGCCAUGGUGGCGGCCGCCCAGGCGGCGCUGCAGAGCAGCUGGGGCAUGAUGGGCAUGCUGGCCAACCAGCAGGGCAUGAGCACGGCGGCGGGGGGCGCGGCCGCCACCACCCGGGAUCAGACGUACGGCUCCACCAGCACCAGUUACAGCAGCCCCUCCACAGCCAGCCUGGGCUGGCCCGCCGGCACUAACUCGGCCUCGGGCAGCGGCUUUGGCUCUGGCUUUGGCGCCUCCAUGGAGACAAAGUCUUCCAAUUGGGGCAUGUAAAUAAGUAGGCGGCGGUUGCGUUGUCGGCCUAGGCCAGGGCUCGGGUCGCGCCGUCAAAAUUAGGAAAAGCGUUUCGUUGGAGGUUUUUGUCAGUUUAGCGUGGCCCUCAGAGACUGUACUGAAAUUUCAAAAGUUGCCCAGCCCUGGUCUAGGCUCAUCUGGUAAGUACUCUUUAAAAAAAAAAAAAAAUCAUUAUAAGAAGGAAAAAAAACUGCCUUUUUUUGUUAACCAGUCGAAAUAUGUGUGACACUAGUCAGGAAUGGUUUUAGUUAGCUGCUUUUCCAAAAGUAACGUGCAUGCGCCGUUGUUUGUAAGCGUGCGCGAGUACCUCUCAAGUGGGCUUGAUAUCCUCGUCUCGUGUAUGAUUUGCAUUUGUAUUUCAUUUCCUUUUUGAAACGUUUUUUUCCCCUUCUGAACUGAUCUGAUGGAAACGCCUUGCCGACCGUCUCUCCUGCAGUUAACCAACUGUUUCGCACGCUCCCGGGAGGAAGCGCCUCACUGGCGGCAAUGUUCUACAGAUCUCAGUAUCACGUGUAAACGCUUUGCCAUCAACACCACACAAGCUUCACUCUGCAUUUACUGUGCUCCACGGGGCCCUCGGACACGGAACAUCGGAACCAGGAGUCACUCACGGGGGGGACUUGAAGACCGCGGAAGAACCCACAAUGGAAUUUCUACACGAAUGCCUUAAAUCCGGAGAAGGAUCUUCAUCUUCAUCCCGCCCGCGAGGAACCUCGGACCCUCUAAUGUUUAGUUGGCCCCACGUCACACUGACAUCUUCCAAAACCUGUCCCAUUUAUUCUAGCAACAGGAAGGUGUGUUUUUCUUUUUGUUUCAUUGUACAGUCCAAUUUGGUGCACACAAAUUGUGCGCGUGAAAAGAAUCACCUGGACAACGGACACCAUCUAGUCUUGUGGCAAAAUAAAUGCUUUUGAGUUGUUCACCUGUCGUCUGUCAUUGGAGGUGAAAAUCAAAUUUAUUUUUACAACACUUUAAGCUCCCUUUAUUCUGAGCCUGUUCUUUGUGUCCACUUCCAUUGCGUCAUUCUUUAUUUUGAUACCGUUGCUGGUGACUCGGGUGUCUUUAGUGACCAUUUUGUGCGCUUGAUGCUGGCUGCUUUGUAAACGUCCAUGUCAGUUUCCUUUGAAAUGCAUUGCUUGAUGUUUGUUUUGCGAAAACUAAAGUUUCAAGAUGGAAAUGUUCCAGGAGAUUAAAUUUCAAACCUAA